CAGACGUUUGCUCAUCCGAACUCAGAAUUUCCUCGUAAAACUGAUCUCUCUUCUUAUUUUCUGCUGUUACAAUCGGGGCAUAGGCACUAAUGAGAUGGUUCCUUCCAGUUUUAGUCCCCACUUCCAUGAUAGUGAUGCGCUCAGAUAUACCUUGAGGAGUACUGAUCUUGUUCAGCAAUCUUCUGUGUACUGCAAACCCCCACACCAUGGAUUCUCCUCUCAUCUUCUCCAAGACCCUUCCAGAAGAAUGUGUGAUUUCUUUCCCUAACGGAACCAGAGUCAGCAAGUCUUGUCUCUUGCAGGGCAGUGAUGUCUACAUUCAGCCGGGUGAGCACCCUGUCAAUGAUUGCCCUUUUCCUGGUGUCCUCUGUCUUGUCCAGGUCGGUAAUGUCCCUUUCAGUUGUCAUUGUUCUGACAUUCCAGGUCCCCAGUUUCAGUGGGAUCAAUUUCAGUUUUCUUCCUCCUUUGC